GAUGAACGCUGGCGGCGUGCCUAAUACAUGCAAGUCGAGCGAACAGAUGGGGAGCUUGCUCCUCUGACGUUAGCGGCGGACGGGUGAGUAACACGUGGAUAACCUACCUAUAUGACUGGGAUAACUUCGGGAAACCGGAGCUACUACCGGAUAAUAUAUUGAACCGCAUGGUUCAAUAGUGAAAGACGGUUUUGCUGUCACUUAUAGAUGGAUCCGCGCCGCAUUAGCUAGUUGGUAAGGUAACGGCUUACCAAGGCAACGAUGCGUAGCCGACCUGAGAGGGUGAUCGGCCACACUGGAACUGAGACACGGUCCAGACUCCUACGGGAGGCAGCAGUAGGGAAUCUUCCGCAAUGGGCGAAAGCCUGACGGAGCAACGCCGCGUGAGUGAUGAAGGUCUUCGGAUCGUAAAACUCUGUUAUUAGGGAAGAACAAAUGUGUAAGUAACUAUGCACGUCUUGACGGUACCUAAUCAGAAAGCCACGGCUAACUACGUG
rnacentral:rRNA from 1 species